rnacentral:piRNA from 1 species
UUGGAAAUAUGGUGGAUAUGUGAAGGUU